rnacentral:rRNA from 1 species
CCGCCUGAUCUUGACUCUGGGAUAAGCCUGGGAAACUGUUGUCUAAUACUGGAUACUACCUCUUACCGCAUGGUGGGUGGUGGAAAGGGUUUUACUGGUUUUGGAUGGGCUCACGGCCUAUCAGCUUGUUGGUGGGGUAAUGGCUCACCAAGGCGACGACGGGUAGCCGGCCUGAGAGGGUGACCGGCCACACUGGGACUGAGACACGGCCCAGACUCCUACGGGAGGCAGCAGUGGGGAAUAUUGCACAAUGGGCGGAAGCCUGAUGCAGCGACGCCGCGUGAGGGAUGACGGCCUUCGGGUUGUAAACCUCUUUCAGUAGGGAAGAAGCGAGAGUGACGGUACCUGCAGAAGAAGCGCCGGCUAACUACGUGCCAGCAGCCGCGGUAAUACGUAGGGCGCAAGCGUUGUCCGGAAUUAUUGGGGCGUAAAGAGCUCGUAGGCGGUUUGUCGCGUCUGCUGUGAAAGCCCGGGGCUCAACCCCGGGUCUGCAGUGGGUACGGGCAGACUAGAGUGCAGUAGGGGAGACUGGAAUUCCUGGUGUAGCGGUGAAAAUGCGCAGAUAUCAGAGGAACACCGAUGGGCGAGGGCAUGGUCUCU